rnacentral:rRNA from 1 species
AUGGAGCCGCGCAUCGGCAACAAGUUCCGCGUCGGCCGCAAGCUCGGGAGCGGCUCCUUCGGGGAGAUCUACCUCGGCACCAACGUGCAGACCAACGAGGAGGUCGCGAUCAAGCUCGAAAAUGUCAAGACAAAGCAUCCGCAGCUGCUCUAUGAGUCAAAGCUGUACAGAAUACUUCAAGGAGGAACUGGAAUCCCAAACGUCAAGUGGUUUGGUGUGGAGGGUGAUUACAAUGUUUUGGUGAUGGACUUGCUGGGCCCGAGCCUUGAGGAUCUCUUCAGUUUUUGCAACAGGAAGCUGUCUCUAAAAACUGUUUUGAUGCUUGCUGAUCAAAUGAUCAAUCGUGUCGAAUUCGUCCAUUCCAAGUCUUUCUUGCAUAGAGAUAUCAAGCCGGACAAUUUUCUCAUGGGUCUUGGGAAAAGGGCAAAUCAGGUUUAUUGUAUAGAUUUUGGGCUUGCAAAGAAGUAUAGGGAUACAUCGACACACCAGCACAUUCCAUAUAGAGAGAACAAGAACUUGACAGGAACAGCAAGAUAUGCGAGUGUAAACACUCAUCUUGGAAUUGAACAAAGCAGGAGGGAUGACAUGGAAUCUCUUGGAUAUGUUCUGAUGUACUUCUUAAGAGGAAGUCUUCCAUGGCAGGGUCUGAAAGCUGGGAACAAGAAACAGAAGUAUGAGAAGAUCAGCGAAAGGAAAAUUGCUACUUCAACUGAGGCCCUCUGUCGUGGAUAUCCUACUGAAUUUGCAUCUUAUUUCCAUUACUGCCGCUCACUGCGCUUUGAAGAUAUGCCAGAUUAUCAGUAUCUCAAGAGAUUGUUCAGAGACCUUUUUAUUCGAGAGGGGUUUCAAUUUGAUUAUGUUUUUGAUUGGACGAUUCUCAAGUAUCAACAGUCACAGAUGACCAGUGCUCCACCGCGCGCCAUGGCCGCUGCAGCAGGACAAAGCUCUGGGAUGGCUCCCAUGGCAAAUAGGCAGUCAGCCACUGAAGAAGGGAGGAGGAGCGGGUGGUCAGAUAUGGAUGGCAUGCGGCGCCAGGUUCCACCUCCAGCUAUAAAUGCAGGCAGCCUGGCCAAGCAGAAGUCGCCUAUCAGACAUGACCAAUCCACCUCAAAAGAUGCUAUGUUCUCCAGUUCGACUUUGUUGGGACGGUCAAGCGGGUCCUCAAGGCGACCUGCUGUCUCUAGCAGCCGGGAGCCGAGCACGGACGCGGAGCAGACGCGCAGCCGCACGACGGACGCGAGCCCGGGGGCGUUCCAGCGGUCGUCGGCCCCGCGGUGGAGCCCGCAGGUGGGCGACUCGUCGGACACGAGGGGGCGGUCGUCCUCGGGCAGGCACCAGUCGUCGAGCGCCAAGAACUACGAGUCCACGGUGCGGGGCAUCCAGGGCCUCAACUUCGACGGCGACGACACCAGGAACCACUACUAG